rnacentral:rRNA from 1 species
AUCGAACGCUGGCGGCAGGCCUAACACAUGCAAGUCGAGCGAGCGGCGGACGGGUGAGUAAUGUAUGGGGACUGCCCGAUAGAGGGGGAUAACUACUGGAAACGGUGGCUAAUACCGCAUACUAUCGGAUAACCCAUAUGGGAUUAGCUAGGAGGUGGGGUAAAGGCUCACCUAGGCGACGAUCUCUAGCUGGUCUGAGAGGAUGACCAGCCACACUUGGACUUAGACACGGGCCAGACUCCUUCGGAGGCAGCCGUGGGGAAGUUUGCACAAUGGGCUCAAGCCUUAUGCAGCCAUGCCGCGUGGAUUAAGAAGGCCUUAGGGUUGGAAAGUACUUUCAGCGGGGAGGCGUUACCCGCAGAAGAAGCACCGGCUAACUCCGUGCCAGCAGCCGCGGUAAUUC